ACUGUGACGUGCCUGUCCCCUGAUUGGGUGUUAGGGGGUGGGGCUACAGACCUAAUCAAUAUAUGCACCUGUGUAGGUGUGCUGCGGGAGGCCUUUCUUUUGUUCUGUUUGCUGCAGGCAGCUCAUUUUCUGGGCCUGCUUGGUUUGGUUCUGUUUGACAUUAUGCUUUAGUUGUUUUUUGUUGAUACGUAGGUUUUCUUUGGGCCGCCUUUUUGUUUAUAAAUGUCUGGACAUGAACCUUUUUCUAAUUUCUUCAUUAAAUUUAUAUUUUUUGCCAUUUAAA